CAAUUGAAGAGUUUGAUCCUGGCUCAGAUUGAACGCUGGCGGCAUGGCUCAAACAUGCAAGUCGAACGAUGAAAGCUUCUUCGGAAGUGUAUGAAGUGGCGUAAGGGCGAGGAAUAUAUUUCUAUGUACCCCAAAGUCAAGGAUAGCCCAGGGAAACUUGGUGUAAUACUUGAUGUGGUCUCCGGAUCAAAGAUUUAUCGCUU
rnacentral:rRNA from 1 species